rnacentral:rRNA from 1 species
GACGAACGCUGGCGGCGUGCUUAACACAUGCAAGUCGAACGGAAAGGCCCUGCUUUUUUGGGGGGCUCGAGGGGCGAAAGGGUGGGUAACACGUGAGUAACCUGCCCUUGACUUUGGGAUAACUUCAGGAAACUGGGGCUAAUACCGGAUAGGAGCGCCUGCUGCAUGGGGGGGGUUGGAAAGUUUUGGCGGUUGGGGAUGGACUCGCGGCGUAUCAGCUUGUUGGUGGGGUAGUGGCUUGAGAAGGCUUUGACGGGUAGCCGGCCUGAGAGGGUGACCGGCCCCAUUGGGACUGAGAUACGGGCCAGACUCCUGCGGGAGGCAGCAGUGGGGAAUAUUGCACAAUGGGCGGGAGCCUGAUGCAGCAACGCCGCGUGCGGGAUGACGGCCUUCGGGUUGUAAACCGCUUUCGCCUGUGACGAAGCGUGAGGGCCGGUAAUGGGUUAAGAAGCACCGGCUAACUACGUG